rnacentral:misc_RNA from 1 species
CAAUUUGUGAGAUUUAAUUAGUGCUACCAGUCAAAAGAAACUUAACUAAGCCUGAAUUUGUUUUGUGGAAAGUAGCUUGUGUACAGUGGAAAAUAUUUUCUGAGACAAUGACUUAUUUGUUAUUGCUUGUUUGCAAUGCUCAAAAUCUGUUGGAAAAUUUUUUUCGAGUACAUUAUAAAAUAUUUAUUGUCUUCAAAUAAUUAAGGCUAUGAAAAAUGUUUGGAUUUAUAAGAACCUUGUAUUUGUCUAUUUAUAAUUGAAUGUGAAGAAAAUUACAUAAAAGGGUAAUUUUGGUUGCCACUUAUGAUCGCUGGUGCCUAGUGACAGCCAGAGAUAAUUGGUGGUCUUUGGUAAACUAAUGGUUUGUACCCAUGCGGUUUUCUUAUAGGUUUCUUUCAUUUAUACAAGUUUAUGAACAUCUGGAAAUGAAUUUUUGUUCUGAAAUUCACUUUGUUCUGAAAGCGAGAAGCCAUUCUAUUGGAAAAGGCUUAGGUCUUGUUUAUUUGUGGGAAAUGUUUUCCGUUUUCAAUUUUCUAAUUUUCUUCUCUAUUUCCUAGUUUUUCUAAUUUUCCAUUUUCCAAGUGAAAUUUUGAGAAACUAGAAUAACAUGUUUUUUGUGUGAUUCUUUCACCAUUAUUCUUUCAUUUUAUUAGACUUUAUUGAUUGAAGUACUAUGUUAUUAAAAAUUAAAUAUUUAAGGUAUAAAUAUGUAAAUGUUUCACAAUCUAAUAACUUUUUAUUAUAAUAAUGUCAGUUUUUUUGGAAUAAUUUUCUGGAAAACAAGGUUUGGUUUCCAUAACUAAACAAGGCCUUAGUUUCCCUUUGACCAACAAAACAUUUUCUAUUAAUCAAGUUUCCUGAACUUGCCUAUGCCAGACAUUGGGGAAAAUGUUUCCCACAAACAAAAAGAGCCUAAAUUUCUAAAAGUUCAGAUAACUUGUUUCAGUGCACUUCUUGUAUGGAAUUUGUUUCAGUGCACUUCUUGUAUGGAAU